AACGAACGCUGGCGGCAUGCCUAACACAUGCAAGUCGAACGAUGGCUUCGGCCAUAGUGGCGCACGGGUGCGUAACGCGUGGGAACCUGCCCUUAGGUUCGGAAUAACUCAGAGAAAUUUGAGCUAAUACCGGAUAAUGUCUUCGGACCAAAGAUUUAUCGCCUUUGGAUGGGCCCGCGUAGGAUUAGGUAGUUGGUGGGGUAAUGGCCUACCAAGCCGACGAUCCUUAGCUGGUCUGAGAGGAUGAUCAGCCACACUGGGACUGAGACACGGCCCAGACUCCUACGGGAGGCAGCAGUAAGGAAUAUUGGACAAUGGAGGAAACUCUGAUCCAGCCAUGCCGCGUGAGUGAUGAAGGCCUUCGGGUUGUAAAGCUCUUUCAGAUGUGAAGAUGAUGACGGUAGCAUCAGAAGAAGCUCCGGCUAAAUUCGUGCCAGCAGCCGCCGUAAAAC
rnacentral:rRNA from 1 species